CGGCGCACGGGUGCGUAACGCGUAUGCAACCUGCCUUAUACAAAGGGAUAGCCCAUGGAAACGUGGAUUAAUAUCUUAUAGAACUUAAGAGUCGCAUGGUUUUUAAGUUAAAACUACGGUGGUAUAAGAUGGGCAUGCGUCUGAUUAGGUAGUUGGUAGGGUAACGGCCUACCAAGCCGACGAUCAGUAGGGGUUCUGAGAGGAUUACCCCCCACACUGGUACUGAGACACGGACCAGACUCCUACGGGAGGCAGCAGUGAGGAAUAUUGGUCAAUGGGCGAGAGCCUGAACCAGCCAUCCCGCGUGCGGGAUGACGGCCCUAUGGGUUGUAAACUGCUUUUCUACCCCAAGAAACCCUGUUACGUGUAACAGGUUGACGGUAGGGUAGGAAUAAGCAUCGGCUAACUCCGUGCCAGCAGCCGCGGUAAUACGGAGGAUGCAAGCGUUAUCCGGAUUCAUUGGGUUUAAAGGGUGCGCAGGUGGGAAUGUAAGUCAGUGGUGAAAUACUGCCGCUUAACGGUAGAGCUGCCAUUGAUACUGCGUUUCUUGAGUAUGGUUGAGGUAGGUGGAAUGUGUUGUGUAGCGGUGAAAUGCAUAGAUAUGACACAGAACGCCGAUUGCGAAGGCAACUUACUAAGCCAUUACUGACGCUGAGGCACGAAAGCGUGGGUAGCGAACAGGAUUAGAUACCCUGGUAGUCCACGCUGUAAACGAUGUUCACUCGCUGUUUGCGAUACACAGUAAGCGGCUGAGCGAAAGCAUUAAGUGAACCACCUGGGGAGUACGAUCGCAAGGUUGAAACUCAAAGGAAUUGACGGGGGCCCGCACAAGCGGAGGAACAUGUGGUUUAAUUCGAUGAUACGCGAGGAACCUUACCUGGGCUUAAACGUAGAUUGCAUAAUUUAGAAAUAGGUUUUCCCUUCGG
rnacentral:rRNA from 1 species